rnacentral:tRNA from 1 species
GGGGAUUUGGCUCAGUGGUAGAGCACGUGCCUAGCAAGCGCAAGGCCCUGGGUUCGGUCCCCAGCUCCA